rnacentral:rRNA from 1 species
AUGCUACCUCGCGGCGUGCCGUGGCCACCCGUCCGUCGUCGGCUUGCACCGGACAGUGCAGCCUCGUCCUGGAGCACGUCGGCCCGAGCCUCGGCCACGUUCUGCCUUCUGCGUGAUCGCCACGAGCCGUUCACUGAGGAGGAGACGCGCCGCGUCAUGCGGCAGAUCCUGGGCGGCGCCGAGAGGAUGCACGAGCGCGGCAUUGUCCACCGGGACAUCAAGCCCGGGAACAUCCUCGUCGGCGGCGAAGGCGUGGUGAAGAUAUGCAACCUCGGGCUGGCCGUUUCAAUGGCGAGCGCGCCGCGCUCCGCCGCGCGCGGUCAGGCCGACACGCUCUGGUACAUGGCUCCGGAGAUGCUCCUGGGGAAGCCGGAGUACGACGAGCUCGUGGACGCCUGGUCGCUCCGCUGCGUCAUGGCUGAGCUGCUCGCCGGCGAGCCAUUGUUCCCUGGCCACAGCGCGACCGACCAGCUCCUGAGAAUCUUCCGCGUGCUCGGUAGCACGUGUAUGGGUAUGGCAUCCACGCCGCUCGCCGACGCGGGGCAGAAGCCGCUGACCGGCCGAGGCGGCAGCCGGCCGCGCGAGCUGUUUCCCGAGGAGCGCCUGUCGCGUGACGUGUUCGAGGUUUUUUUAGAGGGGCUCCUCACGUGCGACCCCGGCGAGCGUCCGCCAGCGGCCAUGGUGCCCAUGGGACGAGCGUACCUUGUAAAGCAUGCUUGA